CUCGUGCGCUUCGCCCGUCUCCACAGUUGGUGCAGUGCAACAGUGUUUACGGGGUGAACUGCUGGAGUUGGCGUUAGAUAGUCGAUGGUCUACUGCCGCCGUGCUCUCUCACUGCCAGUGUCCCACCACCGCCAUGCAUGUUUUGCGGCAAUUGCCGGCUACUAUACUCCUCCGUCUCCAAUCAUCAGGCACCAGCUUGCGACGCAACUUGGAUUCUCUCCUCUCCUCUCCUCUCGUUGCAACAAGGCAGUCCAGUGAAUGAGACGGAUGGCCCCAGCUGUGCCUGUAGCUGAUGCAUGAUGGAGCUGAGCCUGUGGGUGGGAAUCUCUUCUCUGCUGGUGGCCACUCGCCUAGCUCCAAAAACACACACACACACACUCUCUCUCUCUCUCUCUCUCUCUCUCUCUCUCUCUCUAUCUAGUGGGAAGUUUCACAUCACUAGCUCCAUCGCAAUUGGUAUGGGUGGUGCUUCUGCACAAAAGAAAAAAGAUGUGCCUGUCUCACUCCCCAACCAACUUGUGAAUUGUCAUGCAUCGAUCCUAGCUAGAGCAUCUCCGAGAGCAAAAACCCUUGUUACAGUUUUCCAACUCACAUUCUACUAUAUAUUAGGAUGUGUUGGGCACACAUGGAAGUAAGGCAAAAUGAUGCAUCGACAUGUGAUACGUGAGCACGUAUUUCAGAACCCGAUAGGUUGGUUGGAGUGGGCUUCUUAAAAUUAUUACUCCGAAGCGUGCAAUUGAGAUUGUAGUAUUAUAAUACCCACGUAUUUGUAAAUUUGUUAUCGUCGUUGCUUUAAACACCCAUCUAUAGCUCACUCACUGCUGCUGUUACUGGCAUUUCUCCCCUCAUCCCGUUCCUGAAAACGGAUCUGAGGCCGUCGUCUUCCACUGGGUCGCGCUCCUGUUCGCUCCGUCGUCAGAAAUGCAGGCAGCGCCAGCAGGUCUUGCUUCACGCUCCUCGCGGAUGGUGGCCCCUCCGGCCCGCGCCGAUGCAGUUGAAGCUCCUUCCGAAGUGAGUGAAAAGUGUUCCUUGCUCCUUCCAAAGUUUAGAGAUCACAGCAGCGAGGUAUAAUCGGAGAUUUGCACUAUGCUAUUGUUGAAGUGACGCAUUUUUAAGGUUUAGGGCAGUUUACGGCAAUGCAGUUCAAGCUCCUCCUUUUUAUUGUUCAAGUGACAUAACUAUAAUUUAAGUAUUUGUUUGCGCCAGUUUACAUAACUAUACAUUAAGUAUUGUUUAUGGCAGAACUAUAAUAUUUGUGCAGUGACUAUAUUUUAAGUAUACUUCACAUAAAUAUAGUUUAAGUAUUUGUUUUGCGACAAUUUACAUAACUAUACAUUUUAAGUAUUGUUCAGUGACUAUUUGAGUUUACAUAACUAUACUUUAUAGAAUCUAUCACAAAACACAGGCAAAAGACAUUGUUGGGAGUAGUAGGGGCACAAAAACCGUGGGCGCCUCGCUCAACACGAGCAACAUUGUUUACGGCACUAGCAGAAAUGCAGAAUACGUCCGCGCCAUCUAUUAUCCAGCACACAUGAUCCGAUAUGUUUUAGCGUUAGGAGCAUUAUAUAUUUGGAUUGCAAUACUGAUGUGUGAGAGAAUCUCAUUCUUCUAUUUGUAUUGUAGGCACAAAGAUUAAAUAGAGUUUGGAAUGGUCUUUUAGACGCCAUUAGACACAUGCAAGUCUCAGCCGAUGAGUUGAGGAGGUUGACCAGACGCAACCAUGUGCCUGAGUAUGUAGAGUACCUACGCAAAAAUAGAUUAUGAAGCCCAUGUGAGUGCUGUUACUGAAAUUGCACAAGGUCUAGACCACGUGAGCACAGAUUUGGCGGAAGUUCUUAUUGGUCCGCAACCUCUUCUUGAAGAUUAUGAAGCCCUUGGUUUGUACGAUGAUUUCCAAUGCGAUGGUGAAGAUAGCUCUGUGGACUCGGAUGAGAUCAAUGAUCGUCGUCUAUCGCAUAUGAACGAGCGUAUAUGAGAUAUUUGUUUGCGAGAGAGUUCAGUUUGCCAUUGAUGUCUGUAGCUUAUGAAGCCCUUAGUUAGUUGCCACUGUUGUUCCUGGUACUUGUAUGAAUUGGGUUAUGAAAAUGAAGAGUUGUGUUAUGAGUUGUAUUUUGUGAUCAUAUAAUGGCUUCAUGUGAUAAUUCUGCACCUGUUGUCACUGUUGUUAUGAGUUGUAUCUUAUGAAGCCCUUAGUUAGUUG
rnacentral:lncRNA from 7 species